rnacentral:lncRNA from 1 species
GAUUAUAUCCCAUUCCUUUUUUACUUCAAUUUGCAUUAAAUUGACUCCUAUCAAUUUUCAAAGUAUCUUUUGUGAUCGAAAUCAGCCAUUGGAUAUUCACACUUUGGUCCCCAUACUUUGGAUUUCUUUCAUUUUUGCUCCAUUUUUGUUCUUUCUUCCAAUUCUUCAUUGAAACAUGAAUUUUUCCUAAUAAAAGCAAUAAAUAAUAAAUUAUGUACUAAUCC